ACACACACACACACACACACACACACACAAGUGUACUCGCUUACAUACUCUGAGCUGUAUGUAUUUCUUUAUUAUGCUUUUUAAAAAUGACUGAGAAGUCACAGAAAUAAAUAGCGAUUCGUUUUUCAGCUGUGAGCAGCUCAGAUGCAUUUUGAAUCUGAUUAGCUGCUGACCUUUUAACAGGCAGCCAUAUUGCCUUACUUUGUAAUGUCCAUCUUUAGAGUCCUACAGCCUGUUGCAUCAGCCAAAGGAAAGUUUAAUCCAAGAGCCUUUUGCUCUUCUAACAUUAAUGUCUUCCAGUAUUUAACCGUUCUGCUAUGACAACAGUAAAUAUUGAAUGACUUACAGAUCACGGAGAUGUACAUUUUAAUCAGAAAUACUUUAUUAAUCCCCGAGGGGAAACUCUUAAGAUCUUAACUCUACGUUGUAACUAACUUGUAAGGUGCAACCUGUUUUACAAAGUUAUAGUAUAUUUAGCUACAUUUGAACCUGGUACAACAUCCUGCUGUUCUGUUGCUCAAAUAUGAACACAACUUUAAUGUGAAUGCUUACAUAUGUUUGUAUCACUUACAUCUUUCAUUAAUUAAUGCUGAAUGCUCAGCCAUGCUGCCUUUCAGCAUCUACAUGAGUCUGCUGAAUGACCAGUUGCCAACCUCUGUUAUGUACCACCUGUUGAACUUCAUCAUGUGAGGCUUCUUCCCUUCAGGCCUUCCAUGUGAGCCAUCCCACUCCCACCUGCUCCUGCUGAGAUUCUGAUCAAUCCUGCCUGCAUCAGUGUCUUAAAUCUAUCAAUUAUGCUGGGAAUAUAACGGACAUUAGCCCGUAUGGAUUUUGAGACAGUAGGGACUCCAACUAUAUUAAAAAGAUAUGGAUUGUGUCACUUUCUUGUUUAUGUAAUCUCCAUAGCAACAGAAACAAACCAGAUGCAGAAAUGUCAGACAUCAGAGCGGCAGUGACAGUCCUAAUGUUUACAGAAGAGAUUUGCAUCAAGGAUGGCAAUUUUGUUUAAUAUUAUUGACAUUUAAACAAAAUGUAUGUAACCAAUUACACAAAAAGACAAAGGCGAGAAAGGGACGGCGACAAAGUAAACUGAAAUUUUAUUUGAUUGCAAGGGGAUUACAGUUUAGUGGAAGACAAUUCAUUUACAUGCAUGGUUAAGCCCAAUAAUAAAAGCCUCUCAUAUUUACAUAUAUCGAAUUUUUUGUGCUCAUCCAGUGAUGAUGAUGCUGAACACCAGCAUUAUCCUGAGUCCACAAUGGUUGUAGUGGGUCCCACAUUCUUGUUACAUCCCUCUAAUUAAGUGCAGUUCUGACAUUUACAUUAAACACAUUGACUAAACAGCUGCAAAUCAGUGUUGUUUUGCCAUUUACUCUCUGUCAAGGUUCCAUAAAGCUUAACCAACAAACAUGAUCACUUUCUUUGCAGCACAUUCAGGCAGAAUAUUUCCAUCACUAAAUGUUGUGCUUCCUUACUUGUUUGUUUUCCUAAAAGAGAACAAUAAUUGAUGUUCCUCUCUGAUGGCCAUCUUACACUCUAAUUUCUAUUUAAUGUAUUCGAAAGCUGACAUACGGGGGUUUUAAUGCAGAGGAUUAUCGGUAAAAUCCCUGUUGUCCAGCAGCAUCAAAAGACUCAGAGAAAUAGUUGUUUGCUGUUCCCACUUGCACUAACUUAUUAUUUUAAUUACAUUUAUUUCAGACUUCUGAAUAACUGCCCAUAUUAGCAAGUUUGUUCAAAUAGAACGAAUGAAUGAGUGAAUGAAGGAAGGAAGAGAAAACAAAAUGACAAUUUAGUCUGAUUAUUAGGCUUAUACAGUUCUCAAAGCACCUGAAGUCAGUCAAAGCAUUUCUUAUACUAUUAAAUAUUCUGGACUAAAUAAGCAACAACUCUCUUACUAGUACAGUGUUAACUUUGUAUGUUCAUGUAGGACCUCAUCACUUAUAGCAGGGGUUCUCAACCUUUUUGGAUGUUGGGACCAGCAAGCUGGCAAGAGUGGUCUCGUGGACCGGUGGGACCAGACUGAGUCUACUUAAUUCUCUCCAGACAUGUUUUAAAACAUGUAUAGAAAAUACUGUAGGUUUUCAGGACCUUUAAAGAUGAUAUAGUGUUUAUUCAGGCUCCCAGUCAUAAACUUUAUAAUGUGAUACCUGGAAAAAACAGUACAAUAAGACUUGAUGCCGAUGUAAGGGGUACUGAAUACAGUUUUCCUAUAGCAGCGUCAGAUAGUUUGACAUUUCUGCUAAGUGAUAACAGUCUUUAUGUGACUGUAGAACUUGUAGUCACUGCUACUCAG